rnacentral:tRNA from 1 species
CUUGCAUAGGUUAAGUUAAGACCUUAGGCCUGUGGCGUUUAAAGUCUCUUUGGUCGGAGUGUGAGA